GGGGGUGACAGGCUUCGACUUGAGUUCGACAGAAUAGUCGUGGCAUGCCGAGGACGCCCGGUUGGCCUCGUAAAAUAUCUGGGCAAAUACAAACGCAAAUAAACUAAUUGCGCAAGCUAACGAGAUCGUAGAACCGAUUUUCGCUGGCGAACCAGUCCUUGCCUAAUUAGGUAAGGCCCUUUUGCAGACUGCGCCUGCGAGUUUGCAAAAGGACUAAAGUGGGCUAGCUGUUAUUCUUGCCUUUGGGGUAACGGCGAAAUUUAAAAGGCUGGUUUUUUAUCAAUCCUGUUUGUUGGAGGGGUAAAAAGCGAGACGACGUAAACAAAAUAAGCAUGUAGAGGCUUCUAUUUUGUAACCCAAGGACGCGGGUUCAAUUCCCGCCACCUCCACCA
rnacentral:tmRNA from 1 species